rnacentral:rRNA from 1 species
AACGAACGCUGGCGGCGUGCCUAACACAUGCAAGUCGAGCGGGAAAGUUCCCUUCGGGGAGCGAGUACAGCGGCGAACGGGUGAGUAACACGUAGGUAACCUACCCUGGAGACUGGGAUAACCUGCCGAAAGGCGGGCUAAUACCAGAUAAGACCACGAGGGCUGCGGCCCAUGUGGAAAAAGAUGGCCUCUGCUUGCAAGCUAUCACUCCGGGAUGGGCCUGCGCGCCAUUAGCUAGUUGGUGAGGUAAUGGCUCACCAAGGCUGAGAUGGGUAGCUGGUCUGAGAGGAUGGCCAGCCACACUGGGACUGAGACACGGCCCAGACUCCUACGGGAGGCAGCAGUGGGGAAUAUUGCGCAAUGGGCGAAAGCCUGACGUAGCGACGCCGCGUGGGUGAUGAAGGCCUUCGGGUCGUAAAGCCCUGUCAAGAGGGACGAAACCUCGUCGACCUAACACGUCGGCGACCUGACGGUACCUCUGAAGGAAGCACCGGCUAACUCCGUGCCAGCAGCCGCAGUAACAC